AGCAGCCGCGGUAAUUCCAGCUCCAAUAGCGUAUAUUGAAGUUGCUGCAGUUAAAAAGCUCGUAGUUGAAUUUCGGGACCAAUAUGUCGGUCGUGCCUCGGUACGUACUGGCAUCGUUGGUUUCUCCUUUCUGAAGAACCAUGAUGUCAUUUAUUUGGUGUCGUGGGGAAUCAGGACUGUUACUUUGAAAAAUUAGAGUGUUUAAAGCAGGCUCACGCUUGAAUACAUUAGCAUGGAAUAAUGAAAUAGGACGUUUGAUUCUAUUUUGUUGGUUUCUAGGAUCGACGUAAUGAUUAAUAGGGAUAGCUGGGGGCAUUAGUAUUCAAUUGUCAGAGGUGAAAUU
rnacentral:misc_RNA from 1 species